UACGUAGGGUGCAGGCGUUAAUCGGAAUUACUGGGCGUAAAGCGUGCGCAGGCGGCUUCCUAAGUCAGAUGUGAAAUCCCCGGGCUCAACCUGGGAAUUGCGAUGGAGACUGCAAGGCUAGAAUCUGGCAGAGGGGGGUAGAAUUCCACGUGUAGCAGUGAAAUGCGUAGAGAUGUGGAGGAAUACCGAUGGCGAAGGCAGCCCCCUGGGAUAACACUGACGCUCAUGCACGAAAGCGUGGGGAGCAAACAGGG
rnacentral:rRNA from 1 species